rnacentral:rRNA from 1 species
AGAGUUUGAUCAUGGCUCAGGACGAACGCUGGCGGCGUGCUUAACACAUGCAAGUCGAACGGAAAGGCCCUUCGGGGUACUCGAGUGGCGAACGGGUGAGUAACACGUGGGUGAUCUGCCCUGCACUUUGGGAUAAGCCUGGGAAACUGGGUCUAAUACCGAAUAGGACCACAUGCUUCAUGGUGUGUGGUGGAAAGCUUUUGCGGUGUGGGAUGGGCCCGCGGCCUAUCAGCUUGUUGGUGGGGUAAUGGCCUACCAAGGCGACGACGGGUAGCCGGCCUGAGAGGGUGUCCGGCCACACUGGGACUGAGAUACGGCCCAGACUCCUACGGGAGGCAGCAGUGGGGAAUAUUGCACAAUGGGCGCAAGCCUGAUGCAGCGACGCCGCGUGGGGGAUGACGGCCUUCGGGUUGUAAACCUCUUUCAAUAGGGACGAAGCGCAAGUGACGGUACCUAUAGAAGAAGCACCGGCCAACUACGUGCCAGCAGCCGCGGUAAUACGUAGGGUGCGAGCGUUGUCCGGAAUUACUGGGCGUAAAGAGCUCGUAGGUGGUUUGUCGCGUUGUUCGUGAAAUCUCACAGCUUAACUGUGAGCGUGCGGGCGAUACGGGCAGACUUGAGUACUGCAGGGGAGACUGGAAUUCCUGGUGUAGCGGUGGAAUGCGCAGAUAUCAGGAGGAACACCGGUGGCGAAGGCGGGUCUCUGGGCAGUAACUGACGCUGAGGAGCGAAAGCGUGGGGAGCGAACAGGAUUAGAUACCCUGGUAGUCCAA